UUAUGUGACUACGCAUUACGUCAUGGACAGCUUACACCCUACUAGCUAUGUUCUGCCUUAAAAACGUGCAGUUUAACUAAGAACUUACAAACAAAAGGUGUUCCUACGGCGUCAGAGCGGCAAGGUGGAUUUCUACAGGAACUGGAGGAACUACUCUGCAGGAUUCGGUGACACGAACGAUGAGUUCUGGCUCGGACUUUCAAAUCUUCACAAAAUCACCUCAGCCGGUCAGUAUGAGUUGCGCGUGGACCUGCGUGACGGACAGGAGAGUGUGUUUGCUGUCUACGAUAAAUUUUACAUCGCAGAUCCUCGUUCCCGCUACAAGAUCCAGAUUGGUGCAUACAGUGGUACC